UUUUUUUUUUAGAAUUCAUAAUUCAGUCUAUUUCUCCUAAUUUGGCACAAAGAGCGGAUGCCAGAAGCUAUCAUCCUCCUGCAUUAGAUGGUACUAAAAUUUGAAGCACAAACAAGUUUUUCAUGCAGGUCACAUCAGCCUCAGGAAAACAAGUUUACAGGGCGUUCAAAGGAUUCCAAGUAAGCAUGAAGAAAAUGUCUGAAGAGACUUCAAGGUCUGUGUCAGGCCAUGGAAAUGAAUGGAUAUUCCUUGAUCUAAAAGUAAAGCCAAAAUCAUCCUACUACACUCAGUAUUAACACUCUGGGUCUUUAUUAUGCUUGUGAAAUACCCACACUUAAGAGAGAGUUUAGAUUGUUACCCAGACAGUCAAUUUGUUCCAGUCCAAAUCUUUAUUUCAGCUGAAGAAACCUAUUAUUAGCUCAAACAGCAACUUUCCCAGUUGAAAACACAUGUAGCGUUUUAGCAAGCUAGAUUUAUGUAAGGUGGGUCAUGAACUUUUAUUGUAUUCCUGUGGUAAAUAACAUACACAAACAGAAAAGCUGUUGACCACUUGUAGUGAACUGGCUCCCAUAUUUCAGUUUGAGACAGUUUAAAUGAAGCAAAAGGAGAAAAGCUUUCAUAAAGCUGUGGAAGCCACAACAAAUUGAUUUUUUCCACUGCUUUUGUUACCUCAUGGAAUUUCCACAGUGUGAGAGCCAAACAUAGUUCCAGUUGAGAUCUUUCUAUUUUAAGAAUAAAAUACACACUUACCACAAAAUAUCUUGUACAUAUCCAAAGUCUAAACAAUUAACUGGAUAAACACUUCACUAAAGCAGCAAAAUAAAUAUUUUUCUGCUUA